rnacentral:misc_RNA from 1 species
CUAACAGUGAGAAAUAACAGUGCGUGUUAGCAACUUGAAUCCACUACUCAUAAGCUCAGUCAUGAAUAGAUGUUUAUCAGGAAAAUAACUACAAUAAAAUAGGAAUUGCUACAUAUAUGAAGUCAUACAAGUAAUAGAUUGAAAUGGUACAACACAAAUUAGCAUAAGGCUCUAAACUAAGAAAAGGACAAAAUGAUACUUGACUCGUGAACAGAAGUAGAGCAUCACUCGGCUUCAAGAGAAGAGGUGCCAUGACGUACACGGAAGCAGCUACAGAUAGCCCUUAACUUGCCUAAUCAUGAUCUCCACAGUGUUAUGACACUACUUUUACAGGAUACCUGUCGAUACAAUCCUCCCAGGGACCAUCGGGAGAAGGCUUUACAUUUCGUAGUGCCUUUCUUCAUUCUUCCUUUGGCCUCUAUAUACGCCAAUUCAUACCAGAUAGAGCUGGAUGAAGUAUUUCCAAAGCGGUGCAGGGUCAUUCGAGAUGCCUCAACGUGAACCUGUGUCAGCUGUAAAUUCUUUUCCAGCUCGUCAAUAACAGCCCUUCCACCAGCGUGUAUGCAGAAAUGAUCAAAGGCCAACUUGAAAUCUGGAAUGUAAGGCUUGAUAUGCUUAUUGAAUAUUUUCUUAAUUAUCAGAGAACCAAAGAACAGAAGCUGCUCACUGAUGGGUAGAACAAGAGGACCCAAUGUAGUGAUAUUCGUCUUAAGCGCUCCACCAGCGAUUGCCAUGAGAUCUUUUGACAAAGAAACCCCA